UACAUGGGGUGCAAACGUUGCUCGGAAUUAUUGGGCGUAAAGCGCACGUAGGCGGUUCGUUAAGUCGGAUGUGAAAGCCCUCGGCUCAACUGAGGAAGUGCACCCGAAACUAGCGAGCUUGAGUACUAAAGAGGGUCGCGGAAUUCCCGGUGUAGAGGUGAAAUUCGUAGAUAUCGGGAGGAACACCGGUGGCGAAGGCGGCGACCUGGGUAGAUACUGACGCUGAGGUGCGAAAGCGUGGGGAGCAAACAGG
rnacentral:rRNA from 1 species